CGCGUAGGCGGUUUGUUAAGUCGGAUGUGAAAGCCCCGGGCUCAACCUGGGAACUGCACCCGAUACUGGCCGACUAGAGUACGAGAGAGGGAGGUAGAAUUCCACGUGUAGCGGUGAAAUGCGUAGAUAUGUGGAGGAAUACCGGUGGCGAAGGCGGCCUCCUGGCUCGAUACUGACGCUGAGGUGCGAAAGCGUGGGGAGCAAACA
rnacentral:rRNA from 1 species